CCGAGUGACCAUUGUUUGGUAGGGCUACUCGCUUACAAGAAGCCAUUUUUGCCAUAUUCGCCAUAGAAGUUUAGAACCAAAACUCUGUGUUACGUUCCCUCCUCUCUGUCGUCCUUCCUAUUUUUAGAGAGAGAGAGAGAGAGAGAGAGAGAGAAGACGAGAGAGUUACCGGCGGGCUCGGAUUCGCUUGGUGCAGGUCGGGAACUGAUUUGGCUGACACAGCCCGUGCUUUGUGCUGCUUGGUCGGAUCCCGCCUUGCAUCAACUGAAUCGGAGCCCGGGGUGAAUCAGCCGAGGAUCCAUGGAUCUGAGCGCCAGAAUUCAAUCUCUUUUCUAUCUAUUCCAUGUCACGGGUUUCACGUUUCAGAUCUCUGGUCCUGAACCCUGAAAAAAGUUCUCAUUUUCAACCAUUUCGUACUCUGAAUGUGUUGAAACGCAGUUGUUUGAUCCAGUGCUGGGUUUCCCCAAAUCGCGGUGUUUACUUUCAAUCUCUGUUCCUCGGAAUUACUAGCCUUUGUUUUGUUUAUAGGCUGAUGCCCCUUGGCCUUGUCUGAAGAGUUAUGGAUGCAAUUCCGGUGAACUUUGUGAUGUCACUCAACGAUUUCACAAGAUUUCUGCUCUCUGAUCUCUCAGGAAGGAAGAGGAACCAUAAAGCUGGAGACUUUUGAAUUGUUAGGGUUUAUGUACUUCGUGUUGGUUAAUGCCCUAUUCAAUCGAAGGUGACACAUUCAUUGAUUCCCAUUCAAUUGAAGGCACUCACUUGUUCUUGUUCUUGUUUUUUUUUUUCCUUCUCAACAGCAGGUUGGAUAAAUUCUGCACAGAUCCAAAAGAAAAAACUCUGUUCUUGGAAGUUUGGCUCAUUUUGUGUAUAAUCAUAUGUAAAUACGAUCCGAGGUCCACUUGUCUACGUUCUUUGGAGAUUUUCCAUGUCUGAUUAAGAUUAGAUUUCAUCUCUAAUAUAUUUUUUUUCACUUGUGUCUGAUUGUUCAUGUUGCAGAAUAUUUCAAAGUUUAGAGCGGGAAUACUUUUUUAUUUCUGCUAGAGUGAGGAAAUUAAGACUUGUAUUUCUUGUAUCAAUUAUAACAUUCUAUUUGUAAAUUAGAUUUAGCCAUUGUUUUAACAAGUUGUCUGAAUGAUUUUUUUAUGACAACAAAUAAAUAAUCAGAAUCAGAAUAUCUUGUAGCAUGGACCUCCCUUUUUCCCUCUUUUGUUUCUUCUGUUGAUGGAUGUAAAUUGUCAAAAGUACAAAGUGGAAGAUCACAUGAUUGUUUUGGUUUU